rnacentral:rRNA from 1 species
CACGUAUCAACCUGCCGAUGACUCGGGGAUAGCCUUUCGAAAGAAAGAUUAAUACCCGAUGGCAUAGUUCUUCCGCAUGGUGGAACUAUUAAAGAAUUUCGGUCAUCGAUGGGGAUGCGUUCCAUUAGGUUGUUGGCGGGGUAACGGCCCACCAAGCCUUCGAUGGAUAGGGGUUCUGAGAGGAAGGUCCCCCACAUUGGAACUGAGACACGGUCCAAACUCCUACGGGAGGCAGCAUG